CCUUUUUCUGUUCCAAACUGUUGAAGACAAGAAUCACCAGGCUCCAAGAAUAAAACAACUGCUUCACAACCAAGACUUUCUAACUAACCUGGUUAACCAAGGUUAUUUACUACAUGGUGUAUGAACAAAUAGAGUACUAACAUGAAGCCUUCAAGUUAUUUGAAGAAUAGGAUAUGCUAACUUAGUCUAAACAACAAAAAAUUAUUAUGUUAAAAAAUAUAAAUGCUUCUUUGCAAACCAAACAAUCAAACAAUUUCAUUAGAAAAUUCUGCAAUAAGCAUGAGCUUAUUUCACCAGUAA